ACAUUUGGUUGUUUUUUUUUUUUUUCAGAUGGAGUCUUGCUCUGUUGCCCAGGCUGGAGUGCAGUGGCAUGAUCUCAGCUCACUGCAACCUCUGCCUCCCAGGGUUCAAGCGAUUCUCCUGUCUCAGCCUCCUGAGUAGCUGGGAUUAGGUGUGCACCACCAUGCCUGGCUAAGUUUUGUAUUUUUAGUAGAGAUGGGGUUUCACCAUAUUGGUUAGGCUGGUCUCAAACUCCUGACCUCAGGAGAUCCACCUGCCUCAGCCUUCCAAAGUGCUGGGAUUACAGGUGUGAGCCACCACGCUCAGCUGACAUUUGGUUAUUUUGAUUUUUUUGUUAUAUUACAAAUAAUGUUAUUAAAGCACUUGUGAUACAAGUGUCUCUUUGGGUCAUGGGCACACAAUUCAGUUGGGUAUAAACCUAAGAAUGGAAUCAUUAGGUCAUAGGGUAAGCAUAUCUUCAACUUCACUGGAAAAUAUCAGUUCCCAAAGUAGUAAUUGCCUAAAUUUACAUUCUCAUCAGCAGUGUAUUAAAGUUUCCAUGGCUCCUCAUACUUGCUAACACUUGGUAUUGUCAGCUGUCUUUGUUUUAGCCAUCUGGGUGUAUGUCCUUAUUCUUUGAAUACGAAUUUCCUUGAUUACUAAUGAGGAUAAACCCUUUUUCAUUACAUAUAUGUGAAUACACAUAUACAUAAAUAUAUACAGUAUACAUACUGUAUAUGUGUAUAUGAAAACAUAUAUAUACAUAAAUAUAUAUGUAUAUAUACUGUACAUAUUAGGCUAUCUGGAGUUCUUCUUUUCUGAAUUGCCUGUUCAAGUCUCUUGCUCAUUUUUCUAUUGAGUUGUCUGUUUUUUCUUAAUGGUGCAUAGCUCUCCUGUAUGUAUUUUGUAUUUAACUGAUAGCUGUUUUGCAAAUAUAUUCUCCCAGUUGUGGUUUGCUUUUUCACUCUAUUAAUGAUUGUUUUUGGUAAAGAGAAAUUCUUAAAUGUUUAAUGCUAAUAUAAUAAAAUCUAUUUAACCUUUCUUUACCAUUUGUGCUUUAUGUGUCCCAUUUGAGUAAUUUUUCUCUACCCCAGGAUAAGAAGAUAAUCUCUGUUAUAAAUAUAUAAUAUACUUACAAUUUUUUUUGGUAAGAAGUGAGAUGUCAGUCAAAUUUUACUUUUUUAAUAUAGAUAUCCAAAUGAUCUGGUUUAGUUAAAAUUAUAUUAUGGAAAUCUUCAAAACAUAUAUACUAAGUAAAAAAAGAACAGUUUAAUGAGCUUUCAUCAUUCAGCUUUGACAAUUUUCAUCUAUGAACAAUUUG
rnacentral:lncRNA from 10 species